AGAAGAAGAAGAAGGCCUAAAAUGGCUGACCUUGACCCAGCAAAGGCAGAGAAAGAUAAACCUACGAAGGAGCAGCACGAUGAAGAAGAACAGACAACAAGAAUAGCAAUUGCAGAUUCAGCAGCCGAACAUGAAGGCAAAGGCACGUGGAAGCACGCAGCUUUUCACGUUGCCACAACCAUCGCUACCCCUGCUGCUUAUGCUCCUUUACCUUUUGCUCUUGCUUCUCUCAGUUGGCCUCUCGGGGUGAGUAGUUUGGUGGGUGCAACACUGGCUACCUGGUAUUCCAGUCUACUGAUUGCGUCUUUGUGGAGAUGGAAUGGAAAGAAGCAGAUUACAUACAGGCAUCUUGCAGGGAGCAUCUUUGGAUUCUGGGGUUGCUGCUCUGUUGCAUUUUUUCAGCAGGUGGCUUCUUUAGGCAAUAACAUUGCCAUCC
rnacentral:misc_RNA from 1 species